rfam:Fukomys damarensis contig85174, whole genome shotgun sequence.
AGGACCACAAUAUUAACAGCCCUUUGUAUAGUUUGUUACUAGAGAAGGUUUUGUCUUGGGGAAUGUGGAAGCCAUGAGGAAGAGACACAGCUUGUUCUGACUGUGAAGUGGGCCCUUGGUAUCACUUCACUGUAACUGCCAUUCGCCAUUGGUGAUUGUUCUUUUCUUUGGGGAGAGUAGUGGGGAGAGGACACAGUCUGUCUGAGAGGU